rnacentral:tRNA from 1 species
GAGGUGGUAGUAUAAAGAAGUAUAUGUGGUUUCGGCCCACAAGGUGAGCAUGUUGUUCCUAUCUUU